rnacentral:rRNA from 1 species
ACUCCUGCGGGAGGCAGCAGUGGGGAAUAUUGCACAAUGGGCGCAAGCCUGAUGCAGCCAUGCCGCGUGUAUGAAGAAGGCCUUCGGGUUGUAAAGUACUUUCAGCGGGGAGGAAGGCAAUACGGUUAAUAACCGUGUUGAUUGACGUUACCCGCAGAAGAAGCACCGGCUAACUCCGUGCCAGCAGCCGCGGUAAUACGGAGGGUGCAAGCGUUAAUCGGAAUUACUGGGCGUAAAGCGCACGCAGGCGGUCUGUCAAGUCGGAUGUGAAAUCCCCGGGCUCAACCUGGGAACUGCAUUCGAAACUGGCAGGCUUGAGUCUUGUAGAGGGGGGUAGAAUUCCAGGUGUAGCGGUGAAAUGCGUAGAGAUCUGGAGGAAUACCGGUGGCGAAGGCGGCCCCCUGGACAAAGACUGACGCUCAGGUGCGAAAGCGUGGGGAGCAAACAGGAUUAGAUACCCCAGUAGUCCCAUGAU